rnacentral:rRNA from 1 species
UACGUAGGGCGCAAGCGUUAUCCGGAAUUAUUGGGCGUAAAGAGCUCGUAGGCGGUUUGUCGCGUCUGCCGUGAAAGUCCGGGGGCUCAACCCUGGACCUGCAGUGGGUACGGGCAGACUAGAGUGCGGUAGGGGAGAUCGGAAUUCCUGGUGUAGCGGUGAAAUGCGUAGAUAUCAGGAGGAACGCCGGAGGCGAAAGCGAGUGACUGGCGCGUUCCUGACGCUGAGGUGCGAAAGCUAGGGGAGCAAACAGG